UCUUCUUCUCUCAUCUUUGUAGCAUUCAGUACGCUGUGUCUACUCUCUUUCUUCUGAGUUCUGCCACAAGAAGAAAAGUCUUUUGCAAACCAUGCUAGACGAGACCACCCCGGGAUCCCACGCCAAAAUUAUAACCCACGCCACUCCCUUCCAAUCCUGCCUGACACAAUAGUGUGUCAGCGUGCCCUCUUUUCUUGAUCCAACGGGCUGCAUUGAGAAGAGAAAUGAAGGGCAAGGAUGUUGCGAUAGGUAAGGUCUUUAGGGUUUCUGUCCACUGCCCACUUGUUAUCAGCGUCGAAAGAUAGAGAAGGAAGGGUUUUUGAGUAAAAGAAAAUUGGUGGCUUAGAGAGAGGGGGGGUUUCAAGGAUUAUUCGCAAGGGUUUAAGAGAAAUGGAUGCUGGAGUGAGGUUUCAAAGGAGGAAAUCAGAAGUUAUGGCAGAACAAAGACAAGCCUUGGGUUUAGCAAGCAGAUGCUGCCAGUUGCAAAGCAGGAGGAUUUUAGCAGAUCUUGUUUAGAAAGCAGAGUAGUAGAAAAAGGAUGGAAGCAGAAGUUCUGAUCACUGAUAAAGACAAGAAAAAUUGGAGGCGUGCAACAAAAGCCAAAAUACUCAAAAGUGUGGAGGCUGUUGGUUGCCAUGUGUCAAAUAAACUGUGGCCGUUGAAUGUCUGUAUGAGAAGUUCACGAAAAGGAUAAGGUGGAUUCCAUCUGUAUUUGGGCUGUUUCCGGGAGAUGAGACUCUCAUAUCAUGCACAACAACUCCUACGCAGUUGUCAAACUUGAGGUGGCAUUGUGGGCUGUUUUGAAUUGUUAUGCCUGUGACUGUCACAUUGAAACUUCCAUAAAAUCUUAGUGCCUGCAAAAAGAAAGGAUGUCAAUCAUGUUAUAAAGUGCGUGCGUGCUCAUGAAUUGCGAUAGAAAUCUUCAUGAAGUCCAUACUGUGGGCUUGAUGCUUGGCAUUUUCCCGUUGAGCUCGUUUCUUAUCUGCAACACAAUUCAGAAAAGAGGCAUGAUCAGAUUCAGAUAGAUACUGCAGAUAAUAAUUGCAGUGGAAGGUACAAAUUGAAGCCAAUUACCGGCAUUGGUGGGUGUUGUUGUACUGUGUUGUUCAGUGGAAUAAUGAGUUCCGAUUCACUGUCUAUAGGAUCUUCAAAUGGGUAGUCUUGCCACCAUACUGAGCCACUCCCAUCUAUGGUGCCUUUUCCCUGAAUUGUGAUUCCGACAAGCUUGGUGAAUUCAAGCCACUGCAAGAGACCUCUACCCCAAGCAUUGGCGUUUGAUGGGGCAAUAAUUGUGCCAUCCAACUGAGAAAAAAAAUUCAUCGUAUCAUCAUUCGUUAACAUGAAUUGCUGUCGUUUUCUCUGCUAACAAAUUCUGUAUUUGACACUUACUUGAAAUACAAUGUUUGCUUGGCAGUACGGACCAGAGAAAGAAAUAGGUCCCACGAGGAAUACAUAUUCUGCUGGAACAAUCAACGUUGAUGCUUCCACCUUACAAGCUGCUGCCCAUGCAGCUUGGAAUGCCUGCGUAGCACCGUAACACCAUGUCAACCAACUGUAUACUAACUGUAUACAAUUAUUGUUCAUUUUUAAGGAAUGGACCCCACCUUGGGGUGGUUCUGCUGUCUUUUCCUUUGUAUUAUUUGUCGGUGUUUUGGAGCUGUUUCAAUGUGUAAUUCUGUAAUUUUGGUGAAAUCAAUUUGGUGCACAGCAUUGCUGCAAGAACCGUGGAGUGCGGAGCAAAUAACUCACGAGUCAUGGCUGGUGGGGACGGAUGGGGAUUUAAGCACAUUAAAGGUUGUGGAACCUUUCUGUGGUGGACUUGGUUUUGGUGCCUUUUCUUUUGGUGCAGGAGGAGGUAAUGCUGGAGCUUUAUGUGGAGGAGCUUUUGGUUUUGAUACUCCAGAAUGGUGUUGGUGAUGGCUGUUGCCAUGGCUUUUCCCUUUCUUCUUGGCUAGAGAAGCUGGGUUUGAUCUGCUCUGCCUCCAAUGCUUGCCUCUCCUAGCAAUGCAGGUAUCAAAACUUGCAGACCAAACUAGAAAAACAAUGAAGAGCAUGAACGCGAGGCUUCUAAAGCUAAACCCUCUCAUGUUUACCAUAGAAGUGGCUCAGUGUAGGACAGAGAGAGAGAGAGAGAGAGUGUAUUUGAGAACAACAGAGCUCUUGAGAAUGCCAAAUAAUAAAUGAUGGUAGGGUUUAUAUAGGGGGAGCAGUCCAAAGCUCAUGAAACUGUAUGUUGCACUCAUAAGCAAAGAUUAUUCCGAAUCUUCUGAAAAUUAUAGGUUUCAAAAUUAUGCA